UACCUGCAGCUCAAGUGGUGAUCGUUAUUAUUGGGCCUAAAACGUCCGUAGCCGGUCUUGUAAAUGCCUGGGUAAAUCGUAUGGCUUAACUAUACGAAUUCCGGGUAGACUGUUAGACUUGAGACCGGGAGAAGCUAGAGGUACUCCUGGGGUAGAGGUGAAAUUCUGUAAUCCUAGGGGGGACCACCAGUGGCGAAGGCGUCUAGCUAGAACGGGUCUGACGGUGAGGGACGAAGCCCUGGGGCGCAAACGGGGAUUAGGUACCCCGGUAGUCCAGGGUGUAAACGCUGCUUGCUUGAUGUUAGUCUGGCUCCGAGCCAGAUUAGUGUCGGAGAGAAGUUGUUAAGCAAGCUGCCUGGGAAGUACGGCCGCAAGACUGAAACUUAAAGGAAUUGGCGGGGGAGCACAGCAACGGGUGGAGCGUGCGGUUU
rnacentral:rRNA from 1 species